rnacentral:rRNA from 1 species
CGCGUAGGUUGUUUUGUAAGUCAGAGGUGUAAUCCCACGGCUUAACCGUGGAACUGCCUUUGAUACUGCAUAACUUGGAUCCGGGAGAGGACAGCGGAAUUCCAGGUGUAGGAGUGAAAUCCGUAGAUAUCUGGAAGAACAUCAGUGGCGAAGGCGGCUGUCUGGACCGGUAUUGACGCUGAGGCGCGAAAGCGUGGGUAGCAAACA